rnacentral:misc_RNA from 1 species
GAGGGUCCGGGUCCCCCUGAGCCGCACGAGGAGCCAGCAUGGAGGAGCCGCAGCGAGGACCGAGAAGCCACCGCCGCUCGCUCAGGCUUUAACUCGAGGUCCCUGGAGGUGCUAGGCAGACGGGGGAGGCGACCAGAUCGAUCAGUGACGACGGCGAACAGAGAGCUCUUCCUCUGAGAUGUCCUGGGCACUUGUCAACAGGGGCUUGGAGCUGUUUGACUGUGAUUUGCCAGAAAGUAGCAGUCAGCACAAAGAAUCUGGUAGUAAUACCAAGGCUUCCAGUAUCCACACUCAACGUCACGGGUAUAAAAGGGCAGCAAAGCAGAAAAAACGAGCCCAGCAGAAACAGAAGGAGGCCAGUAAGGAGCUGAUUCAGAAGAAGGUUGCAUGUGUACUUGAGGAAUACAAGAAAAAUGUUCAAACUGAUCAGACGGCUGACAAUCUCAAGUUGCUGAAGAAAAUAGAUAAACGUAGAGCACCAGAGAAGUAUACGAACCAGGUCAAGCAACAGCAUAGUAAAGAGCUCGACAGGAAAACUGUAAAUCGAGACUCUCUGCCAGGAAAGAAAACUACAGAAGAGAAAUCUGUAUUUACUGAGGAAGAUUUUGAAAAAUUGAAUGAAGAGUGGCUGCGUCUCUACUAACAAACGUGGGAUGUCCAGUUCAGUGUUGCAUGCACCCUCAAAGCUGUACUUUUUUAGGAUAUUGAAUAGAUCGGAACCAUUGACGGGAUAGUGAGACAAAUGUUGAUGCAAAUGUGAAGCUAUAACCACCUUUAGUGUGAAUCCAGCUGAAAUUGCCCCAAACUUGUGGUCUUUUUAGUAACUACCUUAAACCUGUGAUUUCAGAA